CUGCUUAAUGAUGAAGAGUUGGUCGCAUAUAUCCUUAAUGGGCUAGAUGCUGAAUUCAAUCCUUUAGUCUCUGCACUUGUAACUAGAGUUGAACCCAUCACAAUUGAGGAAUUGUACUCUCAACUUUUAAGUUUUGAGA